rnacentral:ncRNA from 1 species
GAUUCCGCCAGUAGCGGCGAGCGAAAACGGAAGAGCCCAAACCAAAGUGCUUGCACUUUGGGGUUGUAGGACUGCCAUUGUGGAGUUACAAAAUUGUUUAUUAGCAGAAUCAGCUGGGAAGCUGAGCGAGACAGGGUGAUAGCCCCGUAUGCGAAAGUAAGCAAU